rnacentral:rRNA from 1 species
AACGAACGCUGGCGGCAGGCUUAACACAUGCAAGUCGAACGCCCCGCAAGGGGAGUGGCAGACGGGUGAGUAACGCGUGGGAACGUGCCCUUCGCUUCGGAAUAGCCCCGGGAAACUGGGAGUAAUACCGAAUACGCCGUAUUGGGAAAGAUUUAUCGGCGAAGGAUCGGCCCGCGUUAGAUUAGCUAGUUGGCGGUGUAAUGGACCACCAAGGCUACGAUCUAUAGCUGGUCUGAGAGGAUGAUCAGACACACUGGGACUGAGACACGGCCCAGACUCCUACGGGAGGCAGCAGUGGGGAAUCUUGGACAAUGGGCGCAAGCCUGAUCCAGCCAUGCCGCGUGAGUGAAGAAGGCCUUAGGGUUGUAAAACUCUUUCGCCGGAGAAGAUAAUGACGGUAUCCGGAGAAGAAGCCCCGGCUAACUUCGUGCCAGCCGCCGCGGUAACAC